rnacentral:rRNA from 1 species
AGAGUUUGAUCCUGGCUCAGAAUCAACGCUGGCGGCGCGCCUAACACAUGCAAGUCGAACGAGAAAGCGGGGGCAACCUCGUGAGUAAAGUGGCGUACGGGUGAGUAACACGUGGAUUAUCUACCUCUUUGUGGGGGAUAACCCUGGGAAACCGGGGCUAAUACCGCAUAAGCUCGAGAGAGGAAAGCAGCAAUGCGCUGAGAGAGGAGUCCGCGGCCGAUUAUGUUAGUUGGCAGGGUAAAAGCCUACCAAGACUACGAUCGGUAGCCGGCCUGAGAGGGCACACGGCCACACUGGCACUGAAACACGGGCCAGACUCCUACGGGAGGCAGCAGUGGGGAAUCUUGCACAAUGGGGGAAACCCUGAUGCAGCGACGCCGCGUGAGCGAUGAAGCCCUUCGGGGUGUAAAGCUCUUUCGGCAGGGAAGAUUAUGACGGUACCUGCAGAAGCAGCUGCGGCUAACUACGUGCCAGCAGCCGCGGUAAUAC